AAGUCGUAACAAGGUUUCCGUAGGUGAACCUGCGGAAGGAUCAUUAUUGAAGCUCGGAAUGCAUGUUCGGUGCUGAUGCUGCCCAGCGAUGGGAUGUGCUCGCUCGGAUGUGUGUCCCUUCUCUAUUCCACCCCUUUGUGAACCAAGUGUGCGGGCCGAUGAGAGAUCGGAGGCUCGCAUGCAAACCCUUAACAUACCCCAAUGAAGUAUCAGAAUGUAACUUGCGUUAACUCGCACAAAUACAACUUUCAACAACGGAUCUCUUGGCUCUC
rnacentral:misc_RNA from 1 species